AGUGAACGCUGGCGGUAGGCCUAACACAUGCAAGUCGAACGGCAGCACAGUAAGAGCUUGCUCUUACGGGUGGCGAGUGGCGGACGGGUGAGGAAUACAUCGGAAUCUACUUUUUCGUGGGGGAUAACGUAGGGAAACUUACGCUAAUACCGCAUACGACCUACGGGUGAAAGCAGGGGAUCUUCGGACCUUGCGCGAUUGAAUGAGCCGAGGUCGGAUUAGCUAGUUGGCGGGGUAAAGGCCCACCAAGGCGACGACCCGUAGCUGGUCUGAGAGGAUGAUCAGCCACACUGGAACUGAGACACGGUCCAGACUCCUACGGGGGGCAGCAGUGGGGAAUAUUGGACAAUGGGCGCAAGCCUGAUCCAGCCAUACCGCGUGGGUGAAGAAGGCCUUCGGGUUGUAAAGCCCUUUUGUUGGGAAAGAAAAGCAGCAGGUUAAUACCCCGCUGUUCUGACGGUACCCAAAGAAUAAGCACCGGCUAACUUCGUG
rnacentral:rRNA from 1 species